rnacentral:antisense_RNA from 1 species
UUAUGACAAUCUCAUGACAAAUAAUACUUACAGAAACAUUUUCUGCUGAGUUGACCGGCAUCUCAUCCACACUGUGAUUGCCAUUUGUAAUGUCACAGAUGCAGUAGUUGCUAACAGAAGGAGGUCUGAAUGUGUGGCCACCAUCACAAUGAAUUUCUGGACUGAUUCCACAGCCGAAUGUGAAUGAGGCAAGAGAAUGAUAGUGUGUGAGUAAAACUACUGCAUGUACCAAUUCCGCAAGGGACCAGCUGUGCUCUUCAGCUUUUAAAAGUCCCUUAGGGGGAAAAAAAAAGAAUAUAUUUUUGUACUGGGGUGUGGUAAAAGUAUACAGUUUAUUUUAGUAUUUAAUUUAUUGAAAACAUGAGUCAUCGUACAAAGCCUAGCAUAAAAUUAUCAUUUGAAACAUGUAGAACCCAGAAUUUGCUAAUUUUUAUGAAUAUGCAUUCACAAAUAGAACUUAACAUAAUCUGUUAAGACAUUCACUAUUAUUUUGAUUUUCUGAAAUAUUGACUUAAAAUGUAAGAGAAUGCAUUUUGCUUAAAAGUGGCUGCUGUAUUUCAGAUGCUGGAUUAUGAAUGAAUUACUGUGUUGUUAGUUCAAAAUCUCAAAGCAAAUGCAAUAAAUUUGUGUUUAAAAGUAGAA